rfam:Oryza rufipogon genomic scaffold, chr04
AAUAAGUGUAGUUUUGCAUUGUUUAUGUUCAACUUUUGACCGUUCGUCUUAUUUAAAAUUUUUUUAUGAUUAGUAUUUUUAUUGUUAUUAGAUGACAAAACAUGAAUAAUACUUUAUGUGUGACUAAUUUUUUUUAAAAUUUUUAUAAAAUUUUCAAAUAAAACGAACGGUCAAACAUCGGAUACGGUUUCAUGACUAUAUACUUAUU